GCCAGGUGUGGUGGCGGGUGCCUGUAAUCCCAGCUACUUGGGAGGCUGAGGCAGGAGAAUUGCUUGAACCCAGGAGGCAGAGGGUGCAGUGAGCCGAGAUCAUGCCACCGCACUCCAGCCUGGGUGACAGAGUGAGACUCUGUCUCAA
ensembl:misc_RNA Metazoa_SRP Metazoan signal recognition particle RNA